rnacentral:rRNA from 1 species
GACGAACGCUGGCGGCGUGCUUAACACAUGCAAGUCGAACGGAAAGGCCCUGCUUGCAGGGUACUCGAGUGGCGAACGGGUGAGUAACACGUGGGUGAUCUGCCCUGCACUUCGGGAUAAGCCUGGGAAACUGGGUCUAAUACCGGAUAGGAGCCAUUUUUAGUGUGAUGGUUGGAAAGUUUUUUCGGUGUAGGAUGAGCUCGCGGCCUAUCAGCUUGUUGGUGGGGUAAUGGCCUACCAAGGCGGCGACGGGUAGCCGGCCUGAGAGGGUGGACGGCCACAUUGGGACUGAGAGACGGCCCAGACUCCUACGGGAGGCAGCAGGGGGGAAUAUUGCACAAUGGGCGCAGGCCGGAUGCAGCGACGCCGCGUGGGGGAUGACGGCCUUCGGGUUGUAAACUCCUUUCGCUAGGGACGAAGCUUUUUGUGACGGUACCUAGAUAAGAAGCACCGGCUAACUACGUG